AAAUUUUAUGGCCGUCGUCAGCUAGAAAAAAGAAAUGUUGGGUUAAGGCCCGCAACGAGCGCAACCCUUGAGCUUAGUUGCCAACAUUCAGGUGGGCACUCUAAGGUGACUGCCGGUGACAAACCGGAGGAAGGUGGGGAUGACGUCAAAUCAUCAUGCCCCUUAUGACCUGGGCUACACCCCUGCUACAAUGGACGGUACAAAGGGCAGCGAAACCGCGGGGAAAAGCCAAUCCCAGAAAACCGUUCUCAGUCCGGAAUUCUUUUCUCCAACUCGGAGGAAAUGAACCCCUAUUCUUUUCUGUGCCAGGGGU
rnacentral:rRNA from 1 species